GGCAAGCUUAUUCUCUCCCUAGAGCCUAGUGGGCCAGCCAGGGAGCAGAGACCUGUGAUUCUCACACACCCCUUGCUCUCCACUAGCCCUUUUGUGCAUCUGCUCUGACCAUACUGGGAAGAAAGCACAAGGUGGUGAUGGGGUACAGCCCGCAACAGUGGGACCAAAAGACAGAGCCCUCUUCCCAGAUGUGGACACAGGGAACUAGCGGAUAAGUGAGCGCCAACUCCGGCUUCUGGGAGAACGCCACAGCCAAAUGAGUCAUUUCCCCAAAGUUCUGGGAAACUCAGGGCAGAGAAAUUGUUUAAGGAGGGAGGAUGGAGAGGGGGAAGCGGCCAUCGGGAGGCGGGGAAGGGCGGAGCCAAGGCAUUGGGAGCGCUCUGCCGGCCCACUCGACUCUGCUCGCUCUCUACACUUCCCGCGCUCCUCCCUCUGUGUGGGUUAGAAAAUAAAUUUCUCCUCCCCUCCGGGAAAUGGACUAAGGCGCAGUAUCCUGCUGGGCUUCCUUUGGCUGCUUGCUAAGAUCCAGGCGCCUCCUGGGUGUGAUUCAGUCAUCCCAAGAGGUGUGAGGGAGGAGUCAGUAGCUGGGCAGACCAGACUGUCCGGGCUAAGAGAAUCCCCGGGCGCUCUGGCCUGCGAGCUCUGCUCUCUGUUCAGCAGCCCACCCUCGCGCACGAAUCUCAGCGCACGCUGCUCAGGUGCGCCCCGCUUCAGCCCUUACCCGCACCAGGUCCAGCUUGAAGCUAAAGAAUGGCUACUCAGGAAAAGAAGCCUGAAGAUCUGCAGCAUUCCAAGUAAGAUCCCAAACUGGAUGCCUUUUUGCAGUUUUCGUGUUAUGUUAUGUGCUUCAUUUAUCGUGCAAAUCAACAGAUUCCACGUGGCUAGGCUUAUAGGGAGCUGCCUUCAGAUCCAGGAAGAACUGGACUGAAGUAUCACCUCUGACCCUACUAGCUGUGUGAUCCUGGGCAAUCAGGGCUCUAAGCAACUAACUCAGUUAAAGAAGUAGUUUCUUCAACUAAAUUUCCAUUUAUUGGUGAAAUUAAAAGUCUAGUCCCUAGUCUCUCAUAACCAAAAUAAAUAAUUACAUCCGUAGACUUAUCA
rnacentral:lncRNA from 1 species